rnacentral:rRNA from 1 species
UAAGGAAUAUUGGACAAUGCCCGCAAGGGUGAUCCAGCCAUGCCGCGUGCAGGAAGACGGCCCUAUGGGUUGUAAACUGCUUUUGCACCAGGGAAAACCCCCUCUCGUGAGAGGGGCUGAUAGUAUGGUGAGAAUAAGCAUCGGCUAACUUCGUGCCAGCAGCCGCGGUAAGACGAAGGAUGCAAGCGUUAUCCGGAUUCAUUGGGUUUAAAGGGAGCGUAGGUGGCCUUAUAAGUCAGUGGUGAAAUCUCGCAGCUUAACUGUGAAAUUGCCAUUGAUACUGUAGGGCUUGAGUACAGAUGCCGUUGGCGGAAUAUGACAUGUAGUGGUGAAAUACAUAGAGAUGUCAUAGAACACCGAUUGCGAAGGCAGCUGACGAAACUGUAACUGACACUGAGGCUCGAAAGUGCGGGGAUCAAACAG